GACGAACGCUGGCGGCGUGCUUAACACAUGCAAGUCGAACGGAAAGGCCCCGCUUUUGUGGGGUGCUCGAGUGGCGAACGGGUGAGUAACACGUGAGUAACCUGCCCUUGACUUUGGGAUAACUUCAGGAAACUGGGGCUAAUACCGGAUAGGAGCUCCUGCUGCAUGGUGGGGGUUGGAAAGUUUCGGCGGUUGGGGAUGGACUCGCGGCUUAUCAGCUUGUUGGUGGGGUAGUGGCUUACCAAGGCUUUGACGGGUAGCCGGCCUGAGAGGGUGACCGGCCACAUUGGGACUGGGAUACGGCCCAGACUCCUACGGGAGGCAGCAGUGGGGAAUAUUGCACAAUGGGCGGAAGCCUGAUGCAGCAACGCCGCGUGCGGGAUGACGGCCUUCGGGUUGUAAACCGCUUUCGCCUGUGACGAAGCGUGAGUGACGGUAAUGGGAAAAGAAGCACCGGCUAACUACGUG
rnacentral:rRNA from 1 species